UGGAUCAGUGAUGACUGCUGGUGUCAUGUGAGUCAUGUAUGACGAAUACGUGUCUGGAACUCUGAGGUCCAG